rnacentral:tRNA from 1 species
GGAGAGGUGACGGAGCGGCCGAACGUGCCGGUUUCGAAAACCGGUGUACCUCACGGUACCGGGGGUUCGAAUCCCCCCCUCUCCGCCA